rnacentral:lncRNA from 1 species
CAAAGUCCGGUCCAGCAGUUUAUCCCAUUGGAAUUCGACCCAAUCCACAGUAGCCCAAGCCCAGUUUUCGGCCCAUCUUCAAGCUCACAACUUGAAGCCUAAAAUCAGUUCGGCCCCAAGCCCAUCAUUUGCUGUGAGCUUGCAAGGUUUCUUGGCCCGGUUCAAGUUCAUCGCGGGCCCAAGUUCGACCGCUGUCGCGGUGUUCCGUUCUUCGCAAAUCAAG